CAGGGAUUGCCUCAGUAACGGCGAGUGAAGCGGCAACAGCUCAAAUUUGAAAUCUGACCCCCCCGGGGCCCGAGUUGUAAUUUGUAGAGGGUGUUUCGGGCGCGGCGCCGGUCUAAGUUCCUUGGAACAGGACGUCAUAGAGGGUGAGAAUCCCGUAUGUGACCGGUGAUCAAGCCCAUGUGAAGCCCCUUCGACGAGUCGAGUUGUUUGGGAAUGCAGCUCAAAAUGGGUGGUAAAUUCCAUCUAAAGCUAAAUAUUGGCCGGAGACCGAUAGCGGACAAGUAGAGUGAUCGAAAGAUGAAAAGCACUUUGGAAAGAGAGUUAAACAGUACGUGAAAUUGUUGAAAGGGAAGCGCUUGCAAUCAGACCGGUCGGGGGGUGAUCAGCCGCUGCUCGUCAGCUGGUGCACUCGCCCUCGAUCCGGCCAGCAUCGGUUUGGGCGGUGGGAUAAAAGCCCCGGGAAUGUAGCUUCUCUCGGGGAGUCUUAUAGCCCGGGGUGCAAUGCUGCCCGCCUGGACCGAGGACCGCGCUUCGGAUAGGAUGCUGGCGUAAUGGUUGCAAGCGACCCGUCUUGAAACACGGACCAAGGAGUCUAACAUCUAUGCGAGUGUUUGGGUGUCAAACCCAGGCGCGGAAUGAAAGUGAACGGAGGUGGGAGCCUGUCAAACGGUGCACCAUCGACCGAUCCAGAUGUCUUCGGAUGGAUUUGAGUAUGAGCAUAGCUGUUGGGACCCGAAAGAUGGUGAACUAUGCCCGGAUAGGGUGAAGCCAGAGGAAACUCUGGUGGAGGCUCGCAGCGGUUCUGACGUGCAAAUCGAUCGUCAAAUCUAGGCAUAGGGGCGAAAGACCAAUCGAACCAUCUAG
rnacentral:rRNA from 1 species